CCCAAUCUACGAUCCAUCCUCUCUCGCUACUCCCCACGGCCCCAACUCGUGCGAUCCAUGUUUCUCGGCACUCACGUUGAUGUGAAAACUGAAACUCAGAAGAAAAGAAAAAAAACGGCCCACACGCGCACGUCUCCCACGUCCCACGCCCCAUCGCCUCCCAAACCCCACCCCCCUCAGUCGAUCCCAUGUCUCUCCCCAGAAAAUUGUAGCCGCCGGCCUCUUCCUUCAUCGCUCGACUCGGCCAAUGCGAUGAGGACGGACGGAUCCUUCUGUCCUCUCACCCACGACCUCUCGCUUUCCCGCCGUCGACCCUACGCCGUAUCUGCCCGCCAUCCCCUUUCCCCGCCGUGUGACUUCCGCGGCAGACAGGGAAGUUGGCAACCACCGAGGCCCAUGGCCCUCCUACACUUGCCGGAGCCAUCAGCUGGGACCAAGGUCGCCGACCCGCAAGACGUGCUUACAGCAGCACUGCUAGAUUUCUGGUUUAGGUCAUGAUCCAGUACUACUAUCUUAACAUUCGCAGGAAGGAGAUGGCCAUGGGCAGGGGUGUCUAGCUCCUCCUCCUUGACCAGUUCAUCCCGCAGUCACCAUCGUCUUCCACGCGACCAUGCCAGAUUCGCGUCAUCAUCAUCAUCAUCGCAGGUAGGCAGCGGUGGCUGCGGUGAGGGCACGUGCGGCAGGGAGGGCCAUAACCCUGACUUCAGUACGCGAUGUUACAGGUUGUUGAAUAUAUACAGUUUUUGGAAGAGAAAAAAAUUGCUUGUGUUCGGGUGAGGCCCAGAUACAACAUCCCACAUUUUGUUUUCGAAAUCAUCUCUACUUAACUACAAAGGUUGUGGUUGCAACUUGGAUGCAGAGGAAGAGUAAUUUGGCUGCUAAGGUAUCAAGGAUUAUUAAACCCAAACAAAUCCAAGCGGUAUUUGUCAUUUGCUAUAAAGCCAUUAAAAACGCCUCCAGGAGAAAUGUCAAAGGCUCUUUGAGAAACUUGUAUAUUUAUCUCUUCUUUACUUGCCUUUAAUGAAAAACAUGAUAGUAUCCAAAUUAAUUUCAGGAAGGUACUCCUAUAAGAGGAAACUUUUGAGAUGUAUCAUGUCAUUUAAAUUUAAUCCAUAAUGCAGAGAUAAAAACAGUUUUUUCAUUCACCACAUGGAGAUCGCAUUAACUAAGCGUCGUGAGGCAAGCCAUGAUGUUCUUCGAAAUAUGUGGACAAUAAGGUUGCUGAGUGAGCAAUUCUUUUUGCUUCUGUGGUGUUCUCAGGGAGGGAUAAUUCGUGGCCUUGGUGAUAUAUGCAAACCAAAUUUUGUAUGAUUUUUAGAACCCUUUGUAGUGAAAGACAGUAAAUGAGGAAUGAUGUUUAAAUAAUAUUGAGUUUUUCUUUUAUCUUUUUCUUGGUUCAGUUUGGAACCAACCUUCUAUGUAGCUGAAAUUUUAUGUAUCAUAUUAGGUCUGUGUUUGCAUUGUGAAAGAUUGUCUUAUUGAACCUUGCCAUAUCGAGAGUACUUUUUAUUUUCUUGUUGUUUGUAAAAACUGACUCUUUUGAUGCACAUCAGUAGAGCCACAAAACUGAUAUUCACCGCUUAGGCAUAUGAACAUGUGGAUGAAUUGUGAAAUGAUGCUGGCCAGCUUGUUACUUGUAGGCAUUGCAUGCCAUGCAUAGUCCUAAUUUAUAUUCCGCAUCAACUUGACAGUGUUCUAAGUUACAUUCAUAUUAUUUGCAUGACAUAUAAUUAUCUAUCUAUUUAGCUCCUUAAAGAUUGUAAAGUGCAGGUGUACAAUCAAGGCUUCAUUGUUCUUACCCGUAAAAAAAAGGCUUCAUUUUUUUGUUUAGAAAAGGCUUGUUUGGUCAUAGUUGGUUGGGAAAGGUAAGGUUAUGGAAAUACUGGUUCUUUUGACAAACCUCGCACUGAUAGGGUGGUCAUGAAUUAUUAAUUUAAUAACAUACACAAAGUUUGUCGUCUUUAUAAGGAAUCAAAAAGAACACAUUGAAGCCUCGAAGAAAACAUAAUAUGUAAAUUUAGAUGUUGAGGUUCUGAUUUGAUAUUCUUACCUUAUGUACUAUUUUGUUCAGAAAAUGUUUUACACUCGCAUGUUCGAUCGGAAAGGCCUUGGGCUGCUAGCAGUUAAUUUUUAGAGUAGUUUUUUGUAUUGAUCUGCAAUGCCCGAAUGAUAGGAAAUGAUUUUUUUUAUCUUAUGACUCUUAUAUAUUCAUAUAUUCCUUUAAUUUUGUAGAAACUAGAGCAAAUUGUGAACCUGUAUGUAUCAAAGAAUUUUAUGAAUUAUGUUUGUGCAUAUGGCAAUAUGAAAAGGUAGGGCCAUAAUGAUGGUACUCAUAGUGGGAGUGGAAGAGAAGCAUGUGUCGUCGCCAAAGUCACAGUGGUUGUGGUCAUCCAUAUCCACAGAACAAAGAUUGACAUGUAGCAGGGUUCAUCUGGCUUCCAUUACAUGUCGGGCACAGGUUAGUCGCGUGCUCCAAAAAACUGCUUCGAAGGGCCAAGACGACCAUGACCUACUCGCCGGGGCACCGACGCAAGCCAUAGGAUCAUUUGUUGCCAUGAGAGCAGGGGCGGCCAAACCCGCCAUAGUUGGGAGUAGCCAACAGCCCAACACCCAUCCUUAUUAAUACUGACAAUCUUGAGGCGCAACGAACCGACGUAAAUGAGCCGGGUGAUGGUGAUCCUUCUAGAGAAAAAUGGAGAAGGACAAGAUAGAUGUUUAUCGCGAGACAUUCAUUAUUGUGGUGUUUGGCAUGCAUGUUCACUACAUUCAACUACACUGUAAUUCGAUGUGAACGCAUUGGUAGCUUCUGGACUCACUCAGACUCGCCCGAAAAUCAUCGGGUCUUUACGGCCAUCCGGAGUCUCACGUGGAGCCAUGUCUGAUCAAUGUGUAUGUGUCUAAUUUCAUUUUUUUCGUGGCAACGCACAGGCAUUCAGCUAGUAUGUGUAAUUUUUGAAUAGAUAGCAUAGGCCUGGGCGUCCGGCGUCUCGCUUCUCGCUUAGCGGUUGAUCAAUCUAA